rnacentral:ncRNA from 2 species
CCAAUAGCGUAUAUUAAAGUUGUUGCAGUUAAAAAGCUCGUAGUUGAAUUUCGGGGUUCAUACGUUGGUCGGGCUUUUUGGUCUGUACUAGCGUAAUGGAUUCCUACCUUCUGAAUAACCGGCAUGCCAUUAAUUUGGUGCGCCGGGGAAGCAGGACUGUUACCUUGAAAAAAUUAGAGUGCUUAAAGCAGGCUAUCGCCUGAAUACAUUAGCAUGGAAUAAUGAAAUAGGACGGCAUGGUUCUAUUUUGUUGGUUUCUAGGAUCACCGUAAUGAUUAAUAGGGAUAGUUGGGGGCAUUAGUAUUCAAUUGUCAGAGGUGAAAUUCUUGGAUUUAUUGAAGACUAACUUCUGCGAAAGCAUUUGCCAAGGAUGUUUUCAUUAAUCAAGAACGAAAGUUAGGGGAUCGAAGACGAUCAGAUACCGUCGUAGUCUUAACCAUAAACUAUGCCGACUAGGGAUCGGACGAUGUUAAUUUUUUAAUGACUCGUUCGGCGCCUUACG